AUUGAACGCUGGCGGCGUGCUUAACACAUGCAAGUCGAUCGGUAACGCGGGGGCAACCCUGGCGACGAGAGGCGGACGGGUGAGGAACGCUUGGGAAUCUGCCUAUCAGCGGGGGACAACACGGGGAAACUCGUGCUAAUACCGCAUACGCUCUACGGAGGAAAGCCGGGGACCGCCAGGCCUGGCACUGAUAGAUGAGCCCAAGUCGGAUUAGCUAGUUGGCGGGGUAACGGCCCACCAAGGCGGCGAUCCGUAGCUGGUCGGAGAGGACGGGAAGCCAAACUGGGACUGGGACACGGCCCAGACUCCUACGGGAGGCAGCAGGGGGGAAUAUUGGACAAUGGGGGAAACCCUGAUCCAGCGACGCCGCGUGGGUGAAGAAGGCCUGCGGGUUGUAAAGCCCUUUCGGUAGGGACGAAAGCUCUCGACCUAACACGUCGGGAGGUUGACUUAACCUACAAAAGAAGCACCGGCUAACUCUGUGCCAGCAGCCGCCGUAAUAC
rnacentral:rRNA from 1 species